UUUGAUUCAUGUUUAUUUUUAGAGUCCAGACUUCUCGGGCCCAGCGUAUUUAUCCUUGUUAUUCUAGGCUUUGUAGCGUUGGGUUGGGUGCGCAAGAUUUUGGCACAAACAAUGCCCCUUGAAUCUGAACUGUUUGGAAACGGUUCCUCGAUUUUUAACGGUUCAGAUUGAAUCAAUUGUCCAUUAAUGUUGCGCGCCACUUUCUUCCGUUUCUACUAACCCACGUCUACCACGUUUUGUCUGUUGAGCUAGAGUUCGUGGAGAACUGGGUAAUUAAUAGCUAGUUACCAGCUAGCUAUCGAUAGAUGACGCUUUGCCUUCUUCCUCCCACGUUUCUGAACUUUUAAAAAAAAAAAAGAAAUUCAAACUUACAGUUCCUGUUCAUUCGAAAAACCUAGCCUUUCAGACCCUGUCCUUUCCAGUGUUCCCCGAAGUUUCUACCCUUUCUCUUUGUUCAGAC
rnacentral:lncRNA from 1 species